AAUUGCUCCUGAGACCCAACAGGCAGCAACGGUCCCAAGGUCUUUCUGCCCCCGAUAACAGAAAAUCUCUUUUUCGUCUUAAAAAAAAAAAAAAAAAAAAAAAAAGCCUGUGGAAGACUCAGCAGAACCCAGGAAGCGCAGAAUUGGGAGAAAAGUCUUUGGCUGGGGCUGUUUCAAGUCUCUGGUUCAAUGGGCUGCUCGAAGCCAGGACUGGGUAAUUCUUUCCAGACGUCUUGACUUCUCCUUCCCCGCCGUUGUUGCCCUUCUGCCUCCUCCAACUUAAGGGGGUCUUAACAAGAUCUUCUGAGGGGUGGACUUCUUUGGAACUCGACAGGACCUUGAAGACUGGGUUCUUAGUCCUUAUCACAUAUAUGGGCUAUAAUGAAUAAGUCUAAACAGAAAAGUCGAAUAAACUGGAAAUGAUGCUUUCAUCACGUCGCACAAGAAAAACACAUUUGUUGUUUCUCGCCUCUUGUAAUUCAUGACCCAUAAGACAAAAGUAAAAUGUUCUCUGACUGCAAAUGGAUGUAAAAACUGAUUAUACAGCUACACAUUUCUGUCAUCCUCCCAUCUCUACCCCAAAGAAAGAGGAGCUGUUUGGAUCAGAAGAUGACAUCCUUUCACCCAUCCCUUUCAGGUUUUGACAUCCUAAAAUGUACCUUAUGGAACCCAUACCUGUUAUGUUUUCACCUGUACAAGGCAACAGAGAAAACAUGGUAGUUUUUACUUGAGUAGAUGUGACUUAGCAAUAUGUUGUUGCUGACCUCCAUCCCACAGCACAAAACAUAUGUUUAUAUGUCUGACAG
rnacentral:lncRNA from 1 species